rnacentral:rRNA from 1 species
ACGCUCGACACCUACGGGAGACAGCAGUGGGGAAUAUUGGGCAAUGGGCGCAAGCCUGACCCAGCAACGCCGCGUGAAGGAAGAAGGCUUUCGGGUUGUAAACUUCUUUUGUCAGGGAACAGUAGAUGAGGGUACCUGACGAAUAAGCUCCGGCUAACUACGUGCUAGCAGCCGCGGUAAUCUGAGCGGGCUGGCAAGGC